rnacentral:rRNA from 1 species
GAUGAACGCUAGCGACAGGCUUAACACAUGCAAGUCGAGGGGCAGCGGGGGAGUAGCAAUACUCCCGCCGGCGACCGGCGCACGGGUGAGUAACACGUAUGAAACCUGCCCGUAGCAGGGGGAUAAGCGGAAGAAAUUCCGUCUAAUCCCGCGUAACAACCCUUGGAGGCAUCUCCUCGGGUUUAAAGGAAGCGAUUCCGGCUACUGAUGGUCAUGCGUCGCAUUAGCUAGUUGGCGGGGUAACGGCCCACCAAGGCGACGAUGCGUAGGGGUUCUGAGAUGAAGGUCCCCCACACUGGUACUGAGACACGGACCAGACUCCUACGGGAGGCAGCAGUGAGGAAUAUUGGUCAAUGGCCGCAGGGCUGAACCAGCCAAGUCGCGUGAGGGAUGACGGUCUUAUGGACUGUAAACCUCUUUUGUCAGGGAGCAAAGGGCGUCACGUGUGGCGUUUUGCGAGUACCUGAAGAAAAAGCAUCGGCUAACUCCGUGCCAGCAGCCGCGGUAAUACGGAGGAUGCGAGCGUUAUCCGGAUUUAUUGGGUUUAAAGGGUGCGCAGGCGGAAUGUCAAGUCAGCGGUAAAAUCUUCGGGGCUCAACCCCGUCGUGCCGUUGAAACUGGCGUUCUUGAGUGAGCGAGAAGUACGCGGAAUGCGUGGUGUAGCGGUGAAAUGCAUAGAUAUCACGCAGAACUCCGAUUGCGAAGGCAGCAUACCGGCGCUCAACUGACGCUCAUGCACGAAAGCGUGGGUAUCGAACAGAAGGAGAUACCCUGGUAGUCCACGCAGUAAACGAGCUUGGUAGGGUCCGGGCAGAAUGAUGUGGAGGUGGUACAGCGAAAGAGUUAAGUAUUCCACCUGGGGAGUACGCCGGCAACGAUGAAACUCAAAGGAAUUGACGGGGGCCCGCACAAGCGGAGGAACAUGUGGUUUAAUUCGAUGAUACGCGAGGAACCUUACCCGGGCUCAAACGACGGAUGGAUGUUUGUGAAAGGAGGCAGUCCUACGGGACAUCCGUCGAGGUGUUGCAUGGUUGUCGUCAGCUCGUGCCGUGAGGUGUCGGCUUAAGUGCCAUAACGAGCGCAACCCCCAUCGCCAGUUACCAGCAAGUAAAGUUGGGGACUCUGGCGAGACUGCCGGCGCAAGCUGUGAGGAAGGCGGGGAUGACGUCAAAUCAGCACGGCCCUUACGUCCGGGGCGACACACGUGUUACAAUGGCAGGUACAGAGAGAUGAGAUGUGGCGACGCAGAGCGGAACUUCAAAGCCUGUCUCAGUUGGGAUUGGAGUCUGCAACCCGACUCCAUGAAGCUGGAUUCGCUAGUAAUCGCGCAUCAGCCAGGGAGCGGUGAAUACGUUCCCGGGCCUUGUACACACCGCCCGUCAAGCCAUGGAAGCCGGGAGUGCCUGAAGUAGCAACCGCAAGGAGCGCCCUAAGGUAAAAC